AAUUCCCAUACUUUUCUUCUUCUUCUGCGACAACAAAAGAGAAAAAGAAAAAACUUGGAAAAAAACCCUAAUACAGUUAGCAUCUUCGCUUCCGUUCUUAAAACAAAAAACAAAAAAAGUAAACCUAGAAAAUCACAUGUUGCCUCCGUUCUCAUUGUUCUUCCUGAUGGGUUCACCGUUCUACCUCCUUUCUUCCUGACGGGUUCAUCCAUCGUUACUCCGAUUCAUCUUUAAUCUUAAAAAAAAACAAAUGGAUUCAGGUAUGCAUUCACUUCUCUUUUUUUCUUAUCUGAUUUAAGUUAUUUUUUUCUUUUCUUAUGUUGAUUGUAUUUAUUGUCUGUUAAUUAGGGCUUUAUUGUUUGUUUGUAUCGGAUACAAAAUCGAUUCUGCUUUGAAAUUGAUUGAAGUUGAUUUUAGGGUAAUGUAAUUGAAGAGGAUUUUGGAUAAAUUGAAAAACGACUCCUUAGGAUAUCUAAUAAGAUUAAAAAGAGGAUAUCUAGACAGGGCUUCCUAAGAGCCACGUAACAACUUUUUUUUUCUUUCGAAAUGGGUUUAAGUAAUCCAAAAUCUGAAGUUGAAGCAGUCAUGAAGUCUCAAGGAUGUCCUUUCUGUACGUGUUUGUUUGUUAAUUAGGUUCAUGUUAAACCUAUGCUAGGAUGAUUGCAUCAAAUAAAAUGAGUAGCAUGUCAUCUAAAUAAAAUAAUUUAACGAGAAAUUAUCAUUGUUGGUCAAAUUAUAGAUGUAAAGAUAUAGUAGUUGUAUCUGUAAUCUAAUGAAAAUUGAAAUUACCAUUGUUGAUCAAAUUAUAGAUGUAAACAUAUAGUUGUUUCUGUAUUCUAAUGAAAGUUGCUGUAAUAACCAAUUGUUUUCAUUUUUCUUCUUAAAUUGUAUAAAUGUAAGAAAGACGUUGUGUGCUUUCCAACCGACAGAUAGAGAACUUUAGGUGGGUGUAUUCCUUUUUUGGUUCAUAUAUUUGGUGACGUACCCAUUUUCCAUUGGGAAGUUUCAAGGGAAUUUGAAAGUAUGCUAGAGCUGGAGGUUGGUGUUAAUGAUCUUACACCUUUGGUUCAUUGUGGAGAUAUAGCUCCAACAACUACCACUAUACAUCACUCGAUUCACUCCUCUUACGCUCUCUGCAGUGCCUUCUGAUGUUGAAAAUUCUCAGGCUAUGGUUAAUCAACUACCCACUUUUGCUUCUAGGCUUUGGUUCUAUCCUAGAACCAACCUACCAACAUACAGGGAUUAUUCAUUACAAUCUUAUCUUGAGCUUUAUACAAGAAGGUAAAUGAUCAACUAUCGUCAGAAGUGGUGCCUGCAAAAUUAUGAUCUCCGGUGUUUGUACACAGACAAGUCUCCGCAUCAUAUCCAAAGCAGGCAAUCAAGCACUAUAUAUGAACAUUAUUUCCUGGAGUUUCUGGAAUUCUAGAUGGUUAGCUGGAGCUUUUGGUGGUUCCAAAGUUUUGUUUAUUCUUCGGAUUAAAGGGUAUCUGCUACGUGUGUGUUGCAAGAAAAGACACAAUCAUGAGCUGAAAAUAGUGACAUAAUUAAUUGGCCAGUGUUAGAGCAGGCGUGAUUUGGUGAGUCCAUGCUCAUGUAGGUGCUUCUAACGGGUUCCCAGAUUCGCGACAGCUCUUCCAAACUAUCAUAUAGACAAGUUGAGGAAGGUGCGUCCUGAAUGACUUGGGUUUGAAUUCCUUGAAAGUGAAGUCAAUCGAAUGAUCGUUAUUGCAUUUAAAAAAAUUGUGAUUAGUAAGGUGCGUAAUUACGUAUUUCUACUUACUAUGAUGGAAGGGUUAGAGUUGGUCUAAUAAAAUUUAAUGUAUUAAUGUGAAUUACAUAUUCACUCACUCUACCUUUUGACUUUCAUCUAUUUUUGAAUUAAUCUUACUUUAUGAAA